AUUGAACGCUGGCGGCAGGCCUAACACAUGCAAGUCGAACGAGUGGCGGACGGGUGAGUAAUGUCUGGGAAACUGCCUGAUGGAGGGGGAUAACUACUGGAAACGGUAGCUAAUACCGCAUACCAUCAGAUUUGCCCAGAUGGGAUUAGCUUGUUGGUGGGGUAACGGCUCACCAAGGCGACGAUCCCUAGCUGGUCUGAGAGGAUGACCAGCCAAACGGGAACUGGAACACGGUCCAGACUCCUACGGAAGGCAGCAGUGGGGAAUAUUGCACAAUGGGCGCAAGCCUGAUGCAGCCAUGCCGCGUGUAGGAAGAAGGCGUUCGGGUUGUAAAGUACUUUCAGCGGGGAGGCGUUACCCGCAGAAGAAGCACCGGCUAACUACGUGCCAGCCACCGCGGUAAUUC
rnacentral:rRNA from 1 species